GUGAGGAGGAGGCGGGAGCGCUGUGAGGGGGAGGGUGGGGAGCUCCUGAAUCCUGAAAUCCAUGAGGGAUGGGAGCCCCUGAAUCCUAAAAUUCAGGAGGCUAGGGAGACCCUGAAUCCUAAAGUUCAAAAAUGUGGGGAGCCCCUAAAACCUGAAAUCCAUGAGGGAUGGGAGCCCCUGAAUCCUAAAAUUCAGGAGGCUAGGGAGACCCUGAAUCCUAAAGUUCAAAAAUGUGGGGAGCCCCUAAAAUCUAAAAUCCAUGAGGGAUGGGAGCCCCUGAAUCCUAAAAUUCAGGAGGCUAGGGAGACCCUGAAUCCUAAAAUCCAUGAGGGAUGGGAACCUCUAAAUCCUAAAAUUCAGGAGGCUGGGGAGACCCUGAAUCCUAAAGUUCAAAAAUGUGGGGAGCCCCUGAAUCCUAAAGUUCAGGAAUGUGGGGAGCCCCUAAAUCCUAAAAUUCAUGAGGGAUGGGAGCCCCUAAAAUCUAAAACCCAUGAGGGAUGGGAGCCCCUGAAUCCUAAAAUUCAGGAGGUUGGGGAGACCCUGAAUCCUAAAAUUCAUGAGGGAUGGGAUCCUCUAAAUCCUAAAAUUCAGGAGGCUGGGGAGCCCCUGAUUCCUAAAGUUCAGGAGAGAGGGGAGCCCCUAAAAUCUAAAAUUCAUGAGGGAUGGGAUCCUCUAAAUCCUAAAAUCCAGGAGAGUGGGGAGCCCCUAAAAUCUAAAAUCCAUGAGGGAUGGGAGCCUCUAAAUCCUAAAAUUCAGGAAUAUGGGGAGCCUCUGAACCCUAAAAUCCAUGAGGGAUGGGAUCCUAUAAAUCCUAAAACCCCUGAGGGAUUGGACCCCUCGAACCCCAAAUUUCAGGAGGGCGGGGAGCCCCAAAAUCCCCAAAUUUCUGAGGGAUGGAACCCCAAAAGUGAUGCUGGGGAGCUGAGGAAGAGGAGGGACCCCGAGGGCCGGGCUGGGGAUGAACCCCAAGAGCCAAAUUUGGGGUGAGGAUGAGGAGGCAGCACCCCAAAACUCUGUGGGGGGGGGGGGAGGAACCCCAGUGGAAAAUGGGAGAAAAAACGCCCUGAACCCCCAAAAUCCAAAAUUGGAAAUUGGGAUCGGGGGGACCCCCGGGUGAGGAAGAGGAGGGACCCCAAAAAUGAGAAUUUAGGGGGUUCUCACCCCCCCUGAACCCCAAUAAUCAGGAAUGGGGAGGAUUGGGGGGCUGUGGGCACCCCCUGGGGGUUUUUUUAGGGGUGUGGGGCUGUUUUUGGAAAGAGCCCCCCUAAAAUUGAGACCAAUAAAAGCUUUGAGUGACGCUCCGGGUGUGUUUGG
rnacentral:lncRNA from 1 species